rnacentral:lncRNA from 1 species
AAAAUCAUUUUCAUUGGAAUUGGACCGACCAAUGUACCAUCUUGGAGAAUCUUUAUGAAUUUGCCUGUAUCAUACACAAUACCAUACCAAAUCUACUCUACAUAUAUUGUUAAUUAUUUACUUCUAUUUGUAUUUUAUGUACACUAUGAUUCAGGGGAAAAUGGGAGCUAUUCAAAGGAGUUAUUCUACCAUUUUGUGAAG